AACGAACGCUGGCGGCAUGCCUAACACAUGCAAGUCGAACGAAGCCUUCGGGCUUAGUGGCGCACGGGUGCGUAACGCGUGGGAAUCUGCCCCUUGCUUCGGAAUAACAGUUAGAAAUGACUGCUAAUACCGGAUGAAGUCCUCGGACCAAAGAUCUAACGGGAAGGGAUGAGCAGGCGUAGGAUUAGGUAGUCGGGGGGGUAAAGGCCUACCAAGCCGACGUUACUUAGCUGGUCUGAGAGGCUGAUCAGCCACACUGGGACUGAGACACGGCGCAGACUCCUACGGGAGGCAGCAGUGGGGGAUACUGGACAAUGGACUCAAGUCUGAUCCAGCUAUGCCGCGUGAGUGAUGAAGUCCUUAGGGUUGUAAAGCUCUUUUACCAGGGAUGAUAAUGACGGUACCUGAAGAAUAAGCUCCGGCUAACUCCGUG
rnacentral:rRNA from 1 species